GGUCCUUCAUUGGAUUUUUCCACUUCAUAACUUGACUUCUCUCUUAAAGUGCUCACCAGAAGAUUCUCCAAAAGAGAUACCCUACCAGUCGGCCUCAGUCGUCCAUGGAUUGAUAAGCGCCUCAAAGGAAAAU